GAUGAACGCUAGCGGCAGGCCUAAUACAUGCAAGCCGAACGGCAAGUUUGAUAGCAAUAUUGGACCUAGAGUGGCGCAAGGGUGCGUAACACGUAUGCAACCUGCCCGCGACAGGAGGAUAGCUCCCCGAAAGGGGAAUUAACCCUCCAUAACACCAUGAGAAGGCAUCUGAUUAUGGUUAAACCGCAAGGGGUCGCGGAUGGGCAUGCGGUUGAUUAGCUAGUUGGCGGGGUAAAGGCCCACCAAGGCGGUGAUCAAUAGGGGUUCUGAGAGGAAGGUCCCCCACACUGGCACUGGGAUACGGGCCAGACGCCUGCGGGAGGCAGCAGUAGGGAAUAUUAGACAAUGGGUGCAAGACUGAACCAGCCAGGCCGCGUGCAGGAAGAAGGCAUUCUGGGUCGUAAACUGCUUUUUCCUGUGGAUAAAAUACCCGUGCGCGGGGAAUUGAAGGUAACAGGGGAAUAAGCCACGGCUAACUACGUG
rnacentral:rRNA from 1 species